CAACGAAUGAUGUAAAAUUGCUAACAGAGAAAAAACCUAAUUAAAGAAAAAGCAAUUUGAAUCGCGAAGAGCAGAGAAUUAGAAGAUUCUUGAUCACUGUUUUAAAUCUAGGAGAUAAGUGUCGGAGUCAAUUAGAGCCAGAACGAGGUUUUAUUUAGUGAUUGAUUACUUAUUCGCAGAUUUGAAAGAUAUACUGCAACUUCAACAUUGUAUCUCGGCUGUUGUUGGUUUAGGAUUGUUUCGAUGAUUCUUUGGUAUUUUGAGUAUGCUAAUUUUAACAGCACCGGAAUGGGGCCAUUUCUGCUUUUAAUGUUUUCUAGUCUUGUUGCUAUCCUGCUUAUUAUUUUUUAUCAUGCAAGUUUUUCCAUUUCUGUUUCGUGUCGUUUCAACUUUCAGGAACUUAAAUAAAUUAAUUUCAUCCUGGUGAAAAGAAGUGCUGUUAAGUUGGAUAUCUAUAGGAAGUUCUCAAAUGCAUUGGCUGCUGUAGUGUUUGCUUCUGUUGCUUGGAUAGCAUAUGAGGUAUCAUUUCUGGAUUCUUCGUUUUAAGGUGUGCUCCUUGGCAUUCAAAUAUUAAUAUAACUAGCUGUUAAAAGAUUGGUUGAGAGAGGAAGAUAAAUGAUAAUGAAAAAUACAAACAGUUCUUUAAAGGGUCUGACAGGGGAAUUUAGAUAAUUGGAAGAGGCUCUCUGUUUGCAAAAAUACAGGCAGUUCUUUCAAGGGUCUGCACACGGGAUUUAGAUAUCUGGAAGGGGGUCUGAACUUCCAUACUGGCAUACUAUGGGAGGUUUCGUCGAGGGUGAGGAUGCAGACCUCUGGUUCAGUAAAUGGGAGACAAAAAGAAUAAGCUUUGAACUUUAUCUGAAUUUUGCAAGUUUUUAAAUCAAUUUGGCUUUUUUCAGUGCUAUAUCACUGUUAUUUUCUUUGAGCAGCAGUGUGCAACUAAUAGAGCUGAAUUAUCUUUUAGGUUUUA